rnacentral:misc_RNA from 1 species
GAAAUGCGAUACGUAAUGUGAAUUGCAGAAUUCCGCGAAUCAUCGAAUCCUUGAACGCACAUGGCGCUUGCGAGCCCUCUCGCAAGCACGCCUGUUUGAGUAUCGUUUCCCAUCUCUCACCCCCACCCACCCACCUCCCGCUUGGGGCAUGUGUGUGUGUGUGGGUGGUGGAGCCUGGGCGUUGGAUUGUGCACUAUACAUACGUGUGUAUCGGUGUGCGUCCAUCGCUUGAAACGUAGUGUCCGACUCCGAGCGCCGGGUCACGGUGUGCUGGUGUCCCGUUGUGGGAUAAUCAUCACCGUGCACCACGCAACGGCAUUGGGAGGGUUUCAACCGGGCAAGCACUUGCAGGGCUCCCGUCGGAGCCCGGCUUGAUCUUAUCACCUUGCGAUCUCAAAUCAGGCGAGACUACCCGCUGAACUUAA